rnacentral:rRNA from 1 species
UACGUAGGCAGCAAGCGUUGUUCGGAGUUACUGGGCGUAAAGGGUGCGUAGGCGGUCUUCUAAGUCAGUGCUGAAAUAUCCCGGCUUAACCGGGAGGGUGGCAUUGAUACUGGGAGACUUGAGUAAAGUUGAGGUAGGCGGAAUUGACGGUGUAGCGGUGAAAUGCUUAGAUAUCGUCAAGAACACCAAUAGUGAAGACAGCUUACUAAACUUUAACUGACGCUGAGGCACGAAAGUGUGGGGAUCAAACAGG